UGCGUUAACCCCGUGUGUACAUCUCGUCUACUAAUAAUCAGAUAGUAUAACAGAUCAAAACAAAAGCUAUUAAAACAGACACAAGUCUUAUACACGCAGCCGCAGUUCGAAAGAAUUGGGGAACUAGGGUUUCGGAACAGGGGUUUCAAAAUCCAUGCUUGAAUCGCAGGUGAGGUCAUGAAUUAUGUGUAAUAUACAAUUGUUAUGCUUAUCUGUGUAUGUAUAUAUGGCUGUGAUUAUGGUUGACUGCUUGAAUCGGAGGCUGUUAAUAGUGAUGGAGGCUGGUGGGUUUCGUGGUUGUGAUUGACGGUGAAGCCACCGUUGGUUGGUCUGGGUUUAAGUAGAAGGGAAGGAGUUGGUUUGAUUGUUUUGUGGUGAUCGGGGAACGGACGGCUGGUGGUGGUCUGGAUCGUGGCCGGCUGGGCACCGCCGCUACCACGCCGGGAAAGAGAAGCAGCGGCAUAGCUGCACGCGGUUGAGGCUACAGCCGCCAUGGCUGCUGACCAGGCGAGGAGAGAGAGAGAGAGAGAGGGGGGGGGAGAGNUAAAUUGUUGUUCCCGAUUCGUGUAUCGGUUUAUUAGUGUUAGAUAUCAUGUUUAGUUAUACAGUCUGGCAAGUUAGACGACAAAAAUUUGACUGUGUUAGACAAAUAUUGUGUUGAUUGUUGGGAUUGCUUUAUUACAAAGGAAGUGUUGUCCGGGUAUUAAUCUAUUAUUAAGAAUUGGAUUUAAAUUGAGAAUCGAAUUAAGAUUAUAAUUCGGGUUCUAAUUAAGAUUUGGACAGAGAUUCUUGGAUUACCGGUUAUGAUUAUUUAUAAUUACUAAAGCAUGUCAAUCUCGUGAUACGUGACAAUGUGAUUACAUGUUUAAAUUAUGAAUAUUACGUGUAUAUUAUAAUUGAAAAUAUUUAUACCACGAAGGGUAGAAUUAGAUUUUGAUUCAAUUUCGUUAGACGACAAUCUGGUUUGUUCGUCAACUAAAUUAUUAUUUGGUUAUCAUAUAUAGUCGGCUGACUCGUUUAUCAAGGACGUUCAAGAACAGUUGAUUUGUGUUGUCGGAUUGUGUUGAGCCAGAAGCUAGAUGCAAAGGCAAUCUAGAGUUUUCGAGUAACCUGACUAUGAUGUCACUAGUUUUGACAUCAGAGGCAAGUUUUCUAAUUAUGACUUGUACUUAUCACAAGUGAUCUUUUGGUCUAUUCUAUUUAAAUAAGGACAUUCAUAUUCAUAUUUUGCUAUGGCCACUAGUAGUGCAUAUCCUAUAUUUAAAAAUACAAUAUGAUUAUUUAUCUCUUGUAACUACUGCAAGUAUUUUGUUCUACAUCUCUUUAUAACCAAUCAUAUUUUAUCUUCUUCACUCAAUAAACAUUUUGUGCCAUUGCACACAAGUAUUCCUGGUCUCUUGAAUGUUUUUAUAAAAUUUUUAGUUGUUUUCAUUAUUUUAAAAAGGUGAGCUGAUUAAGCUCUGAAAUUAUUUAUUUUAAGAUUUUGACUUCCUCUCUCUCCUAUUGAACUUAUACUUUAUACAAGUAUAUUAGUUGCAUGAAUUACAUUACACAAUUUCGAGCAUGAAUGCUGUUUUACUUGAAUUAUUAUCUUGACAUGUGUACACUCAACAUCAUGUCUAAAAUCUUUUAUCAACUGUUGUUUUCUAUAAAUGUUUCCCCUGAAAAGAACUUUUAUUUAAAUGUUCUAGAAAUGCUGAACCGUUAAUCUAACGGCUAGUAUUAUGAUUUUGAUAUAAAACAAGGUUGUCGAUUAUUUCGAUACCUUGCUUAUUUUGUGAUUGGAAGUACCCUCGGGGACCGUACGCCGGUCCAGUUACAAUUAAGGCCAUUGUGUGCCUUGGAUCCCUUAAAAUUUGGUGACAUGCUUCGUGCAUGAUCCGGUGCUAUCUCGCGACUGAUCAUCGGCUAUAGCAUAGCGUUAAAUUAUUCCAAUCCCUAAAAAUGUUGUGGAAGGUUUAUAUAUUAAUGCUACUCUUUAUUAGUAUUAAGUUUCAGAAAAGUUUUAUAAAUUAAAUUCGAAGUUCAUAUUGUCGCUGAAGCAUUUGUUGCUCAGUGAUAGUUAGAGCCAAGAAUGAAUUGAGAUCUUCUUAUUUAUUCAACUCAUCAUUGUCAUGUUGGUUUAGCAACUAAAUAUAUGGAAAUUUAGUCGAUAAUGAUGGACACUGAAUAUUUAGGGAUUUCUUGAACUGUGGUUUAUGAACAGUUGAUUAUCAAACGUUAUUUUGAACUUCUCAAAUGAAUAAUUUUUGAAGUUCUUGCAAAGGUAUUAUUUUAUGAGAUUUGCUGCAAUGCAAAUCAAAAUGGUUUUAAAGAUUUUGAAGUGAAUCAAUUAUUUGAUUCAAAAUGUUUCUCAUAGUUAGAAACUCUCUCUCUCCAGUUUGGAAUUGCAUUACAAAUGUUUUUAGUAGAAAUCCAUUACCUAUUGGAUUGGAAAAUUCCCCGCAUAUUAUGGAUUUAUCUUAUUAUGCUUCUAAAACUUAUCUUGCUGAGCCUUUUGCUCACCCUUGCUAUUAUUUCUAACGCUUUCAGUUAGAGAUUAAGAUGAUUCGAUUGUUGAGCUGUGCGUAAGAUUGAUGAUAGGCGAGAUUGCCAGGGAGAUGUCUGCAAGAAUAUUUCUGGUUAGAAUUGAAUUAUUUCAGUUUAGUUGUAUAAUAGAUUUAUUUAUUUGGUUAUCAGUUACUCUUCUUAUCGAGGUUUAACUGAUAAUGUAGUUUAAGUUGUAAUAAGAUUGUAAGUUUUGAUUUCUGAUUUCAGUGUUGUAACCUAUUAGCGAUCCUGUUUUUAGGGGGUCAAAGUGAUUUUGAUUUAAAUAUCUUUUAAAAUUUCCAGAUUUUUAAUUAUCUGUUUUACCUUCUUCCGCAAAAUACAGGUUUUUAAAUGAUUUUAUUUUAGUGGCACCAAAUCCAGACCCCCGGAUUUUGGGGAUGUCACACCUCCGUCCCAUUUUAACUCCUUCUGAUUUUUUUACACAUAUUUUAAGGUGUUAAAAAAAUCGCAUAUAAACAUAAUUAUUCUUUAAAAAAUUUAU
rnacentral:lncRNA from 1 species